UGCAACAAUUAUUGGCAAUCGUCCCA
rnacentral:piRNA from 1 species